CGUCAAGUCCUCAUGGCCCUUACGUCCAGGGCUACACACGUGCUACAAUGGUCGGUACAGAGGGAAGCGAGGCCGCGAGGCGGAGCCAAUCCCAGAAAGCCGUCCCCAGUUCGGAUUGGAGUCUGCAACUCGACUCCAUGAAGUUGGAAUCGCUAGUAAUCGCGCAUCAGCACGGCGCGGUGAAUACGUUCCCGGGCCUU
rnacentral:rRNA from 1 species